UACGGAGGAGGCAAGCGUUAUCCGGAAUUAUUGGGCGUAAAGGGUGCGUAGGCGGGUCUUUAAGUCAGGGGUGAAAUCCUGGAGCUCAACUCCAGAACUGCCUUUGAUACUGAAGAUCUUGAGUUCGGGAGAGGUGAGUGGAACUGCGAGUGUAGAGGUGAAAUUCGUAGAUAUUCGCAAGAACACCAGUGGCGAAGGCGGCUCACUGGCCCGAUACUGACGCUGAUGCACGAAAGCGUGGGGAGCAAACAGG
rnacentral:rRNA from 1 species